UACGGAGGAUGCAAGCGUUAGUCCGGAAUGAUUGGGCGUAAAGCGUCCGCAGGGUGGCAAUGUAAGUCUGCUGUUAAAGAGUCGUAGCUCAACUAGAUAAAAGCAGUGGAAACUACAUAGCUAGAGUGACGUUCGGGGCAGAGGGAAUUCCUGGUGUAGGACGGUGAAAUGCGUAGAGAUCAAGGAAGAACACCAGUGGCGAAGGCGCUCUGCUAGGCCGUAAUUGACACUGAGGGACGAAAGCUAGGGGGAGCGAAUGGG
rnacentral:rRNA from 1 species